UACGUAGGCAGCAAGCGUUGUUCGGAAUUACUGGGCGUAAAGAGUGUGUAGGCGGUGCUCUAAGUUCGGUGUGAAAUCUCCCGGCUUAACUGGGAGGGUGCGCAGGAAACUGGAGUGCUCGAGCGUGGGAGAGGAAAGCGGAAUUCCUGGUGUAGCGGUGAAAUGCGUAGAUAUCAGGAGGAACACCUGCGGUGUAGACGGCUUUCUGGACCAUUGCUGACGCUGAGACACGAAAGCGUGGGUAGCAAACAGG
rnacentral:rRNA from 1 species